GAUGAACGCUGGCGGCGUGCCUAAUACAUGCAAGUCGAGCGAAUGGAUUAAGAGCUUGCUCUUAUGAAGUUAGCGGCGGACGGGUGAGUAACACGUGGGUAACCUGCCCAUAAGACUGGGAUAACUCUGGUAAGGCGGGGCCAAUAGCGGAUAACAUUUUGAACCGCAUGGAUCGAAAUUGAAAGGCGGCUUCGGCUGUCACUUAUGGAGGGACCGGCAUGGCAUUAGCUCGUUGGUGAGGUAACGGCUCACCAAGGCAACGAUGCGUAGCCGACCUGAGAGGGUGAUCGGCAACACUGGGACUGAGACACGACCCAGACUCCUACGGGAGGCAGCAGUAGGGAAUCUUCCGCAAUGGACGAAAGUCUGACGGAGCAACGCCGCGUGAGUGAUGAAGGCUUUCGGGUCGUAAAGCUCUGUUGUUAGGGAAGAACAAGUGCUAGUUGAAUACGCUGGCACCUUGACGGUACCUAACCAGAAAGCCACGGCUAACUACGUGCCAGCCGCCGCGGUAA
rnacentral:rRNA from 1 species